rnacentral:antisense_RNA from 1 species
GAUUGAUUUCCACCAUCAACACCUUUACCUCUUCCCGCCUGAAAAUAAAAUAUGAAAUAUAACAAGUAAAUCGCAAUCUACCUUGCACAGAAUCUUCUGGAGAGGGAAAGAAGAAACCAUGUCUAGACAAGGUGCUGGAAAGACCCAGGGAAGACACAGAUAUGUGUGCCUUUAUUAGCGGAGCCACUACUUGAGGGGGAUGAAGCGGGAGGAGUGGGUGGCCCCAGUGCCAGGCCGGCCGUGCUUCACGGGCUUGUAGGUGAUGGAGAACUCGCCCAGGUCGUGGCCGAUCACCUCCAGCUUGAUCUCCACCUGGUUGAAGGUCUUGCCGUUGUAGACGCCCACCCUGCUGCCCACCAUCUUGGGAGGGAUGAUCAUAUCCCGCAGGCGCGUCUUCACCACUUCCUGCUUCCCUAUGGUCGGCGCCUCCUUCUUGGCCUAGCACAGGCGCCUCAGCAGCGAGUGCGGCUUGCGCCUCAGCAUUCCGCCGCAGGCCGUGGUUCAGCCGCCGCAGCUGGCGCGCACCGUACAGCUGCCUCAGCUGCUCAAAGGACAUGUCCAGCAGCUGGCCCAGGUCCACACCGCGGUAGGUGAACUUGCGGAAGGUCCGCUGCUGCUUCUCCUCUACCUCUGCCAUCUUGCCGGAUCCUCUGAAAAUGAUUCCGUAAGUGCCAGAGUCCUUCACAUACGGAUUUUAACCUAAUUCUGUAAUGAUUUUAAUUAGCUGAUAUAUUAAAAACAACGUCAGUAAGUGUUUCCCUUCAAGGAAGCCUCAACUUUGAGAAACGGUGAAUUACGUGAGGUAAACCUCGUAUUUAUGUGAGGAAAGCUCUGCACUGGUUUUGAUUCUCACAUUUUAAUUAGCUGAUACAUUAAAAACAAUAUAAGUAAUUUUUCCCUUCCGGGAAACCUCAACUUGGAGUAACGCUGGAUUACGUGAGCUAAACCUCGUAAUUAUGUGAGAAAGGCUAAGUAUUGGUUUUGUUUCCCACAUUUACGUGAGGAAAUCGAGGCACAAUGUUAAGUGUCACAAGGUCAAGUAACUAGUAAGGGACAGGCCAAGAUAGAAAUCUGUUUGUAGAACUCUUGUGCUUAAUGACUAAGAAGCGUGCGCAGAUGCAAGGGCCAGACAGGGAAACAAGAGAUCCAUUUGUACCAAUAGCAUGGAAGAUUGACUUUGUUUCAGGGAAUCGCGUUUUUUCAUAAAAACUUCAGGAUUAACCCACCUCACAUAUUUUCUCCAAAGUUAUAGUUAUGUAUUGGAUUUAAGAAUAGACUGAACCUGGGCUCCCCACAGCACAAGAUAAAAAACUGAUAGCGGCUGGGCACGGUGGCUCACGCCUGUAUUCCCAGCACUUUGGGAGACCAAGGUAGGCGGAUCACCUGAGGUCAGAAGUUUGAGACUAGCCUGGGCAACAUGGUGAAACCCUAUCUCUACUAAAAAUACAAAAUCAGCGGGGUGUGGUGGUGGGUACCUGUAAUCCCAGCUACUCGGGAAGUUGAGGCAGGAAAAUCGCUUGAACCUGGAGGCAGAGGUUGCAGUGAGCCAAGAUGGCGCCACUGCACUCCAGCCUGGGUGACAGAGCGAGACCCCGUCACCAAAAAAAAAAAAAAAAAAAAAA